rnacentral:rRNA from 1 species
AAACUUGAGAGUUUGAUCCUGGCUCAGAACGAACGCUGGCGGCAUGCCUAAUACAUGCAAGUCGAACGAGAUCUUCGGAUCUAGUGGCGCACGGGUGCGUAACGCGUGGGAAUCUGCCCUUGGGUUCGGAAUAACAGUUAGAAAUGACUGCUAAUACCGGAUGAUGACGUAAGUCCAAAGAUUUAUCGCCCAAGGAUGAGCCCGCGUAGGAUUAGCUAGUUGGUGAGGUAAAGGCUCACCAA